rnacentral:misc_RNA from 1 species
AGCCUGUAUCUUCACUACUUUCUGGCGGAAUGCAAGGAAAUCUUUCCGGCCUUUCCAUCCUCGAUAUUUUUUCUGAAUAGCUAAGGCUGCUGAGUUGUACUCUCGCGGGUUGCGGAAUGCCAACUUUGAUGCAGCUGAAAGCCCCUGAAUAUCGUUUGAGAGGAUACCAUAUUCAUCUCCACUUGUGGUAGCAGAAACACCAAAUUCUCUCUGUUGUCUUUUGCGGAACGAAUGUGCUCGGAAUGCAGACUGUAUACGAGCAGCAGCCUGAGCUGCAUUACGGACUGCAGCUAAAGUGUCCUUUAAAGAACGCUGAUCCUCAUUAAUGGUGGCACUUGUGUUUGAUAUACUACUAAUAGUUCUCUCUGCUUCCACAUCAGCAGUACCUUUUGAGAGCUCGCUCUCCUCUAAAGUGAGGGAUGAAAGAUGACUGGUGAGAGCUACCUCUGAAAGAUAUCCUGCAAGUCCCUUAUGACCGCAGCAGGAAGCAAUUGAUGCAGCAGUUUUACCAACUGGAUCUCGUGAAGAGGGAUCUGUAACAGCUCCAGCCGAUGCCCCGGAUGCGAUGAGCGAAGCAACCAUUUUUUCCCUCCCGAAGCGUGCAGCCCAGUGCAGGGCCGUCCAGCCAUUAAUAUCACGGAAGUUAGCACUGACUCCAGCAUUUAGAAUUGGGUGCAGCGCCCACUCAAAUCCCAAUCCAGCAACCAUGUGAAUUAUUCCUUGCUCCUUCUUAGAUAAAGAACAGUCUAUCUGAUUAUCCUUUUGUUGCAAUUUACUACAAAGCCACUGCUGGAACUUGUCUUUCAAAAGCUCUUGAAGAAGCCAAUCAAUGGUUACCAUUGGCACUGAAGUACCAAACAAAAGAGAUUCAAUGAUCUGGGACCAUGAAUCUUCACUUGCUUUGGAUUUUUCCAAGAGAUCAUUGCCUAAUUCAGAACUUUCUCGUUUUUGGACAGAUAAGUCUGAU